UACGUAGGGGGCGAGCGUUGUCCGGAUUUAUUGGGCGUAAAGAGCGUGUAGGCGGCCAGGUAGGUCUGCUGUGAAAACUCGAGGCUCAACCUCGAGACGUCGGCGGAAACCAUCUGGCUAGAGUCCGGAAGAGGAGAGUGGAAUUCCUGGUGUAGCGGUGAAAUGCGCAGAUAUCAGGAAGAACACCCGUGGCGAAGGCGGCAUCCUGGACCAUUACUGACGCUUAAGCGCGAAAGCUAGGGGAGCAAACGGG
rnacentral:rRNA from 1 species